GACGAACGCUGGCGGCGUGCCUAACACAUGCAAGUGGAGCGACGAACCGGGGCUUGCCCCGGGGCAGAGCCGCGAACGGGUGAGUAACACGUGGGUGACCUGCCCCGAUGACUGGGACAACCCGUCGAAAGACGGGCUAAUACCGGAUGUGCCCCUUGGGGGAAAGGAAGCUUCGGCCUCCGCAUCGGGAUGGGCCCGCGGCGCAUUAGCUUGUUGGUGGGGUAAUGGCUUACCAAGGCGACGAUGCGUAGCUGGUCUGAGAGGACGAUCAGCCACACUGGGACUGAGACACGGCCCAGACUCCUACGGGAGGCAGCAGUGGGGAAUCUUGCACAAUGCGCGAAAGCGUGAUGCAGCAACGCCGCGUGCGGGAAGAAGGCCUUAGGGUUGUAAACCGCUUUCAGUUGGGACGAGGCUUCGAUCGCGAAUAGCGGUUUGGAGUGACGGUACCUUCAGAAGAAGCGCCGGCUAACUACGUG
rnacentral:rRNA from 1 species